CUGCUCAGCUUGCCUCCUGCUCCUUAGACUAACUUCUGUGCGCGCUACUGGCUGGUGAAGCUUGGAGGGGGCGUGAGCUGCAAGUCUCCGUGCCUGUGGUCAGUAAUGAAGACUUCUCUUUUUAUACACAGAUUACUGAGGAACUGCACAGGGCUAGACUGUAGCUCUUAAUUCCCCGACUUUUUUUCAUUUUAAACCUUCUCCGAGGAGAAUGCAGCCUCUCCACCAGCGGCUUUAUGAUGAGCUCACUGGCAGCAGCUCGAGAGGCUCAAAAGGAAGAGAUUUUAUUUUUCCCGUCCCUCGCUGGACUUCCUAGGACGCAGCCUUUGAUUCAGCCUCCUGAUGUUAUCAAGUAGGAAGCAGAGGCCCUUUGAAGCUUUUUGAAUGUCUGCACCUAACCUCCGAGUGCAUCAGUUCGGGACCGGGACCCCACCGUGCUAAGAGCGGAGCAAAAUCACAGUCUCUUCUCGUGAGAACUAGCUGCCCAGGCAGGCGACAAGAGGAAAGAGCUGUUCGCAGGUGGGUCAGGGAGCACCAGGAAACUAGGGGAUGCUGGUGGUUGGUGGGAUAGGCAUUGCUGUCAGCCUCUCUGCAGCCCCGUUGUUGUCCGUCCUCUGCUAAAAGGAGGUACUGAGCAGAGGGCUGAAGAAGGAUAAAGAAACGGCUUUGCAAAGACUGCCGUGGAGCUUCUCCCCGGCGUAGGGGCAGGAAGGUGCGAUGGAGCCUGGCCAAGCCCAGCGAGGGAGCAGCAGCUGCAGAGAUCUCCCCUGCCUCCAAGACGUGCAGAAGUAUUCUGCUAGGUCCCAUCCUGAACGAUGAGGCUCCCCCCAGCCGGUGUCCCCACGCCCAGCCUGUCCAGCAGCCGGGAUGGAUGUGGGAGCAGGGUGCCACUGCCCUUUUAAUCCGGCCUCCUCCUAACUGCCGGCGAACAAGGGACCAUGCCCGCGAAGGCAGCAUCUAACCCCAUGGAGCGAAGGGAAGCCAGCGCUUUC
rnacentral:lncRNA from 1 species